AGAGUUUGAUUAUGGCUCAGGAUAACGCUAGCGGCAGGCCUAAUACAUGCAAGUCGAACGGGUUGGCAAUAUGAGAGUGGCGCACGGGUGCGUAACGCGUAUGCAACCUACCUUUAACAGGGGGAUAGCUCCGAGAAAUCGAAAUUAAUACCCCAUAAUUAUUGAUUGGCAUCAAUUAAUAAUUAAAGCUCCGGCGGUUAAAGAUGGGCAUGCGUGCCAUUAGCUAGUUGGUGAGGUAACGGCUCACCAAGGCAACGAUGGCUAGGGGUUCUGAGAGGAUUAUCCCCCACACUGGUACUGAGACACGGACCAGACUCCUACGGGAGGCAGCAGUAAGGAAUAUUGGGCAAUGGACGCAAGUCUGACCCAGCCAUGCCGCGUGCAGGCAGUAUGUUGACUGCUUUUGUCAGGGUGUAACCUGAAGAAUAAGCAUCGGCAACUCCGUGCCAGCAGCCGCGGUAAUACGGAGGAUGCGAGCGUUAUCCGGAUUCAUUGGGUUUAAAGGGUGCGCAGGCGGAUUAUUAAGUCAGUGGUGAAAUCCUACAGCUCAACUGUAGAACUGCCAUUGAUACUGAUAAUCUUGAGUGUAUAUGAAGUGGGCGGAAUGUAGCAUGUAGCGGUGAAAUGCAUAGAUAUGCUACAGAACACCAAUUGCGAAGGCAGCUCACUAAACUCAACUGACGCUCAUGCACGAAAGCGUGGGGAUCAAACAGGAUUAGAUACCCUGGUAGUCCACGCUGUAAACGAUGAUUACUCGUUGUUGGCGACACAGUCAGCGACCAAGCGAAAGUGAUAAGUAAUCCACCUGGGGAGUACGAUCGCAAGGUUGAAACUCAAAGGAAUUGACGGGGGCCCGCACAAGCGGUGGAGCAUGUGGUUUAAUUCGAUGAUACGCGAGGAACCUUACCUGGGCAAUGUUGUUGACGUAUUCUGAAAGAUACUUCCAAUAACAGGUGCUGCAUGGUUGUCGUCAGCUCGUGCCGUGAGGUGUCGGGUUAAGUCCCAUAACGAGCGCAACCCCUAUCAUUAGUUGCCAUCAGGUCAAGCUGGGGACUCUAAUGAAACUGCCUACGCAAGUAGAGGAAGGUGGGGAUGACGUCAAAUCAGCACGGCCCUUACGUCCAGGGCUACACACGUGCUACAAUGGCCGGUACAAAGGGCAGCUACCUGGUGACAGGAUGCUAUCUCGAAAGCCGGUCUCAGUUCGGAUCGGAGUCUGCAACCCGACUCCGUGAAGCUGGAAUCGCUAGUAAUCGCGCAUCAGCCAUGGCGCGGUGAAUACGUUCCCGGGCCUUGCACACACCCCCGUC
rnacentral:rRNA from 1 species